UGGCAGCGCACGGGCAUUUUGCUAGUUAAGUUCAACUUACCUAUCUCUUAAUCUAGAGUCCUAGUUCAGGUUUCGGUGUUGUCUCUCCUCCUGCUCCACUACAAUUCCUCUUGUGUUGUCAGGCUUCAGAGUGAAGAUGCUUGGUCUGCUUUUAACUUCUUCUUUUUUGAUUUUGUACUUGAUCAUCGUCUCCGCCAAUCCAAAGAUGGGUAUUAAGUUCAGAGUUGUAGCAAACAAAAGUACAUCUUGUAUUGUUAGCUAGGCUUCACGGUUUAGAUGCUUGGUCUGCUUUUAACUUUCGCGUGCUUGAUCGGUCGAUCAUCAUGUUUAUCUGCGCCAAUCCAAAUGGCUGCUCGACAUGCUUUUGAACAUGGGAAGUUCAGAGUUGGAUUUUUUUUUAGCAGAAAACGUUGGAAAAGAAAUUGUUCAGAGUUGGAUUUUUUUUUGAGAACGAACUGUCCAGAGUUGGAUGAUACCAGAGGCGGAGCUAGGCCCCAGGCAGCCCAGGCCACAGCGUGGGCCGUAGGAUUGUUUAUAGCCCAUAUUAUACAGUGUUUGGGAUUCAGCCUGGGGCACAGCCCAGUUCGGCUUCCCUUGGGCCCCAGCCCAGCGUGCCCCUAAGCCUGCCACGCUCGCUUGGG
rnacentral:lncRNA from 1 species